UGUCUCUGUUACACACACAGAUAGAUACACAGACAGGUGAGGUUAACAGUGGCUGGAGCCUCCAUACCAAACAACUGUCUCUGUUACACACACAGAUAGAUACACAGACAGGUGAGGUUAACAGUGGCUGGAGCCUCCAUACCAAACAACUGUCUCUGUUACACACACAGAUAGAUACACAGACAGGUGAGGUUAACAGUGGCUGGAGCCUCCAUACCAAACAACUGUCUCUGUUACACACACAGAUAGAUACACAGACAGGUGAGGUUAACAGUGGCUGGAGCCUCCAUACCAAACAACUGUCUCUGUUACACACACAGAUAGAUACACAGACAGACAGGUGAGGUUAACAGUGGCUGGAGCCUCCAUACCAAACAACUGUCUCUGUUACACACACAGAUAGAUACACAGACAGACAGGUGAGGUUAACAGUGGCUGGAGCCUCCAUACCAAACAACUGUCUCUGUUACACACACAGAUAGAUACACAGACAGGUGAGGACAAUCUGAAUGGACACAUCUUGAUGACAUCACAGUGAUUAGCUAUGAGGGGAUUCCAUUAAUCUGACCUGGGUGAAAGUUG